UACGAAGGGUGCAAGCGUUACUCGGAAUUACUGGGCGUAAAGCGUGCGUAGGCGGUUUGUUAAGUCUGUCGUGAAAGCCCUGGGCUCAACCCUGGGAAUUGCGAUGGAUACUGGCAAGCUAGAGUACGGUAGAGGAUGGUGGAAUUCCCGGUGUAGCGGUGAAAUGCGCAGAUAUCAGGAAGAACACCCGUGGCGAAGGCGGCUCUCUGGGACGGUACUGACGCUGAGACGCGAAAAGCGUGGGGAGCGAACAGG
rnacentral:rRNA from 1 species